rnacentral:rRNA from 1 species
AUGCAAGUCGAACGAACUCUGGUAUUGAUUGGUGCUUGCAUCAUGAUUUACAUUUGAGUGAGUGGCGAACUGGUGAGUAACACGUGGGAAACCUGCCCAGAAGCGGGGGAUAACACCUGGAAACAGAUGCUAAUACCGCAUAACAACUUGGACCGCAUGGUCCGAGUUUGAAAGAUGGCUUCGGCUAUCACUUUUGGAUGGUCCCGCGGCGUAUUAGCUAGAUGGUGAGGUAACGGCUCACCAUGGCAAUGAUACGUAGCCGACCUGAGAGGGUAAUCGGCCACAUUGGGACUGAGACACGGCCCAAACUCCUACGGGAGGCAGCAGUAGGGAAUCUUCCACAAUGGACGAAAGUCUGAUGGAGCAACGCCGCGUGAGUGAAGAAGGGUUUCGGCUCGUAAAACUCUGUUGUUAAAGAAGAACAUAUCUGAGAGUAACUGUUCAGGUAUUGACGGUAUUUAACCAGAAAGCCACGGCUAACUACGUGCCAGCAGCCGCGGUAAUACGUAGGUGGCAAGCGUUGUCCGGAUUUAUUGGGCGUAAAGCGAGCGCAGGCGGUUUUUUAAGUCUGAUGUGAAAGCCUUCGGCUCAACCGAAGAAGUGCAUCGGAAACUGGGAAACUUGAGUGCAGAAGAGGACAGUGGAACUCCAUGUGUAGCGGUGAAAUGCGUAGAUAUAUGGAAGAACACCAGUGGCGAAGGCGGCUGUCUGGUCUGUAACUGACGCUGAGGCUCGAAAGUAUGGGUAGCAAACAGGAUUAGAUACCCUGGUAGUCCAUACCGUAAACGAUGAAUGCUAAGUGUUGGAGGGUUUCCGCCCUUCAGUGCUGCAGCUAACGCAUUAAGCAUUCCGCCUGGGGAGUACGGCCGCAAGGCUGAAACUCAAAGGAAUUGACGGGGGCCCGCACAAGCGGUGGAGCAUGUGGUUUAAUUCGAAGCUACGCGAAGAACCUUACCAGGUCUUGACAUACUAUGCAAAUCUAAGAGAUUAGACGUUCCCUUCGGGGACAUGGAUACAGGUGGUGCAUGGUUGUCGUCAGCUCGUGUCGUGAGAUGUUGGGUUAAGUCCCGCAACGAGCGCAACCCUUAUUAUCAGUUGCCAGCAUUAAGUUGGGCACUCUGGUGAGACUGCCGGUGACAAACCGGAGGAAGGUGGGGAUGACGUCAAAUCAUCAUGCCCCUUAUGACCUGGGCUACACACGUGCUACAAUGGAUGGUACAACGAGUUGCGAACUCGCGAGAGUAAGCUAAUCUCUUAAAGCCAUUCUCAGUUCGGAUUGUAGGCUGCAACUCGCCUACAUGAAGUCGGAAUCGCUAGUAAUCGCGGAUCAGCAUGCCGCGGUGAAUACGUUCCCGGGCCUUGUACACACCGCCCGUCACACCAUGAGAGUUUGUAACACCCAAAGUCGGUGGGGUAACCUUUUAGGAACCAGCCGCCU